UACGUAGGGGGCGAGCGUUGUCCGGAUUCAUUGGGCGUAAAGAGCUCGUAGGCGGCUGUUCAAGUCGAUUGUGAAAACUCGGAGCUCAACUCCGAGCCUGCGUUCGAUACUGGACGGCUAGAGUCUGGUAGGGGGACCUGGAAUUCCUGGUGUAGCGGUGGAAUGCGCAGAUAUCAGGAGGAACACCGGUGGCGAAGGCGGCAUUCUGGACCGAUAUUGACGCUGAGGAGCGAAAGCCAGGGGAGCAAACGGG
rnacentral:rRNA from 1 species